UUGGGAUCCAUGCACUGUUUGGCCUCACAUACUACUCAUAUUGCAAAACAUUGCUUGCUUAUCAAGUCAAAAUUUAUUAGAAAUAUUUGCCUGUCUUGAGGAAAACUCACAGAAGUUACUCACAAUCCAAGGUCUUACUAUACAUAAAAUGCCAUUUAGCAUUUUAACUAAAUUUCGCAUUCUAACUAUUAAGCAUUUAGUCAAUGCCUAGUAAGUGCAGACUUUUUGUUUCAGUUUUAAUAUAUCCUAUCUCCUUCCAGAAAAAUAAUGGAAGUAGAUGACAAGAAUACAUGCAGUAGGACAAGUGAAUGUGUAAGUAAAGGAAUCACACUGAUGGCCAGCGACUGGGAGGGUAAAUAAGAUACUAGGGGUAAAGAUGGCACAUGAAGAGCUCAAGUACAGACAAAGGAAGAUCAAAACUUGGGAUCUGGGCUUCCCAGAAAGUAGAUGAAGGGAAACACUAUCAUGAUUCAUAAUCUUCUUAAUAUUUUUAUAUUAAGCCUAUUAGUUGCUCAGUGAAAGCCCAAUUAUAUCCAGUAUUAAGAUCUCAGAAAUGCUUACUCAAGAGCCUCCAUAAAGUUGAACCAAAUCUCCAGAGUUCAAUACAAUUCUGUGCUUCAUAGAAUUCUCUUCUAAUUUCUCUCAGUAGAGGCUGCUGUAACACCAGAAUGCAAUUCAGUAAAAGCAGAUCUAGCUUCACGGGGCAUGAAAUUCAGAGCCAGGCAGACUUUGGUUUGAAUUGUGACUCUGCCAUUUCCUCCUGGGUCGUCUUGAGCAAGUGAUUUGAUGGUGCUGAGGUUGUUUCUUCCCCUGGAAAACAGCUCUUGACCCUGACUUUGCACAAUUAUUUUAAAGAUUAUUGCCAGUGUAUGAAAAGCGUCUCUGUGCUAGGCACGUGACCACACAUGAUAACUAUUAUUUUGAUGCAGCAUAGCCAUGGCGUUUAUGUAUGUUACUCGCAAAUGGUUUGGCUAAACCCAAAAAUAAAAUUUAGAACAUCUAAACGGGAAUGCAUGUCCUUCAGGCAACCUUCCAUAAAUACAAUUUCUCAUGACUGAUUUUUGAUAGGCACUGGGCAGCGAGCAUUCAGCGUUAUCCUCUUUUGACAAGUACUUGGAGUGCAAAUAUUCUGUUGCCAAUUAGGGACAGACCAUGCUUUAAGCCUCGGCUGAGAUGGGAAUAUAGUUGACAACUCUUUUAAAAGUUGAGAAGCCUAACCAAAACAUACGUCUGUAAAAUGCCACCUCGCCUCCACAUGGACAUGGACUGAGAACGGGACAAGAUUUUUCUCACAAACCUCAAAAUCUGAUGCCAAAGAGCAUGACUGAUUAUUUUAGCCUGGAAAAAUGUUAGAGAGUUCUGUGAAACACCCACCGCCUUAGGCAUAAGCAAGGUCCCAUUAGAAAACUUAUAGCAUCGCUAACCUUAUAACUUCCUGUGAGUCCUCCAACAAAACCUGCCACCCUAGGUGACAAAAUCCUGUUCAGAGUGGUUAGCUUUGUAAGCAAAUAUAGUGUAACAGGGCAUCUGCCAAAAAUAAUUAUCUGGGCUUUAAGAUGUUUAAUCUUAACACUAUUUUUUAAUACUAAUUAAAUACUAGAUUGUUUCUUAAGCUCUCACCUCUUUUGUGACAAUAAAGCUAUGCCAUCAGUACACUAGGAAUGUACUCUUUUUCUCUCUUUUUUUCUCUCUUCUAUUCUUGCUCUGUGUGCAGCUCAGUCCAAAGUGAUAACAGGUCAAUAAAGUAUAUUUUUUAAAGGAGAUGCGGGCUGUUGCAAAUGUGGGAAGAACACAUCCCGUAUCAUCUCAGUGGAAUUCCUAUCCUUCAAGACAGCUUGCCCACAAGAUAACACAUGGGAAAGGUUCUGUAGGAUCAUU